GAUGAAGAACGUAGCGAAAUGCGAUAAGUAAUGUGAAUUGCAGAAUUCAGUGAAUCAUCGAAUCUUUGAACGCAUCUUGCGCUCCUUGGUAUUCUGAGGAGCAUGCCUGUUUGAGUGUCAUUAAAUUCUCAACUACACUGACUUUGAAUUGGUGUGGCUUGGAUUUGGGGGGAAAAUUGUUGUGGGCUUUUUGUAUAGUCUGCUCCCCUGAAAUUGAUUAGCGGUACCUUUGUGGAACUGUCUACAGGUGUGAUAAUUAUCUACAUCUUAGACAUCUGCUGGAAUGCUGCUCUCUAAACCUUACUUGUAUUGACAAUCUUGACCUCAAAUCAGGUAGGACUACCCGCUGAACUUAAGCAUAACAAUAAGCGGAGGA
rnacentral:misc_RNA from 1 species